AACCCUGCAUUCAGUUGCCAUCGGUAAGGCCGGGCACUCUGGAUGGACGUGCCGGCGACAAGCCGGAGGAAGGUGGGGACGACGUCAAGUCAUCAUGGCCCUUAUGUCCAGGGCGACACACGUGCUACAAUGGCCGGCACAACGGGAAGCGAAGGGGCGACCCUGAGCGGAUCCCACAAAAGCCGGUCUCAGUUCGGAUUGCAGUCUGCAACUCGACUGCAUGAAGUUGGAAUCGCUAGUAAUCGUGGAUCAGCCAAGCCGCGGUGAAUACGUUCCCGGGCCUU
rnacentral:rRNA from 1 species